UUUCCAUAGGUGAACCUGCAGAAGGAUCAUUGUCGUGACCCUGAACAAAACAGACCGCGCACACGUCAUCCAAUCCGCCGGUGACGGCAGCGUUCAUUGCUCGGCCAAGUCCUCGACCGCCUCCCCUCCUCGGAGUGGGGGCUCGGGGUAACAAAACCCAUGGCGCCGAAGGCGUCGAGGAACACUAUGCCUAACCCGGGGGCAUGGCUAGCUCGCUAGUCGUCCCCCGUGUUGCAAAGCUAUUUAAUCCACACGACUCUCGGCAACGGAUAUCUCAGCUCUC
rnacentral:misc_RNA from 1 species